GUUGUAGCUCAGUCGGUAGAGCGUGAGCCUCUUAAUCUCUGGGUUGUGGGUUUGAGCCCCACAGUGGACA